rnacentral:rRNA from 1 species
UACGGGGGGGGCAAGCGUUGUUCGGAAUUACUGGGCGUAAAGGGCUCGUAGGCGGCCAACUAAGUCGGAUGUGAAAUCCCCAGGCUUAACCUGGAAACUGCAUCCGAUACUGGAUGGCUUGAAUUCGGGAGAGGGAUGCAGAAUUCCAGGUGUAGCGGUGAAAUGCGUAGAUAUCUGGAGGAAUACCGGUGGCGAAGGCGGCAUCCUGGACCGACAUUGACGCUGAUGAGCGAAAGCUAGGGGAGCAAACGGG